rnacentral:rRNA from 1 species
UGCAAGUCGAACGGCAGCACGGGAGCAAUCCUGGUGGCGAGUGGCGAACGGGUGAGUAAUACAUCGGAACGUGCCCAAUCGUGGGGGAUAACGCAGCGAAAGCUGUGCUAAUACCGCAUACGAUCUACGGAUGAAAGCAGGGGAUCGCAAGACCUUGCGCGAAUGGAGCGGCCGAUGGCAGAUUAGGUAGUUGGUGAGGUAAAGGCUCACCAAGCCUUCGAUCUGUAGCUGGUCUGAGAGGACGACCAGCCACACUGGGACUGAGACACGGCCCAGACUCCUACGGGAGGCAGCAGUGGGGAAUUUUGGACAAUGGGCGAAAGCCUGAUCCAGCCAUGCCGCGUGCAGGAUGAAGGCCUUCGGGUUGUAAACUGCUUUUGUACGGAACGAAAAGGUUCUUUCUAAUAAAGAGAGCUCAUGACGGUACCGUAAGAAUAAGCACCGGCUAACUACGUGCCAGCAGCCGCGGUAAUACGUAGGGUGCAAGCGUUAAUCGGAAUUACUGGGCGUAAAGCGUGCGCAGGCGGUUAUAUAAGACAGUUGUGAAAUCCCCGGGCUCAACCUGGGAACUGCAUCUGUGACUGUAUAGCUAGAGUACGGUAGAGGGGGAUGGAAUUCCGCGUGUAGCAGUGAAAUGCGUAGAUAUGCGGAGGAACACCGAUGGCGAAGGCAAUCCCCUGGACCUGUACUGACGCUCAUGCACGAAAGCGUGGGGAGCAAACAGGAUUAGAUACCCUGGUAGUCCACGCCCUAAACGAUGUCAACUGGUUGUUGGGUCUUCACUGACUCAGUAACGAAGCUAACGCGUGAAAGUUGACCGCCUGGGGGAGUACGGCCGCAAGGUUGAAACUCAAAGGGAAUUGACGGGGAACCCGCACAAGCGGUGGAAUGAUGUGGUUUAAUUCGAUGCACCGCGAAAAACCUUACCCCACCUUUGACAUGUACGGGAAUUCGCCAGAA